AGGUUUCGCCUAUAUGGCACUUCCAAUGACUUGAGCCGGGUCUUCGUGAUCCGGCUUUUUUUUUUGAUCUC
rnacentral:misc_RNA from 1 species